rnacentral:rRNA from 2 species
ACAUAGUGCUGCAGGGCGGUGUUACCAUGCAGUUGACGAGAAGAUUGGAGAGGAGCCUUCGGGUGAAUUUUUAAUUAGAAAGUAGCGAACGGGUGAGUAACGCGUGAAUAACCAACCCUCCACAGGGGGACAACAUCUGGAAACGGAUGCUAAUACCGCAUAAGACCACAGUACCGCAUGGUACAGGGGUAAAAGAUUUAUCGGUGGAGGACGGAUUCGCGUUCCAUUAGCUAGUAGGUAGGGUAAAGGCCUACCUAGGCAACGAUGGAUAGCCGAGCUGAGAGGCUGAUCGGCCACACUGGAACUGAGAUACGGUCCAGACUCCUACGGGAGGCAGCAGGGAAGAAUAUUGUACAAUGGGGGAAACCCUGAUACAGCAACGCCGCGUGAAGGAAGAAGGCCUUCGGGUUGUAAACUUCUGUGACGGGGGACGAACAAAAUGACGGUACCCCGAGAGGAAGCUCCGGCAAACUACGUGCCAGCAGCCGCGGUAAUACGUAGGGGGCAAGCGUUGUCCGGAAUCACUGGGCGUAAAGGGCGCGUAGGCGGCCUGUUAAGUUGAAUGUGAAAUCCCGGGGCUCAACCCCGGACGUGCAUUCAAAACUGGCGGGCUUGAGUAUGGUAGAGGCAAGUGGAAUUCCUAGUGUAGCGGUGGAAUGCGUAGAUAUUAGGAGGAACACCAGUGGCGAAGGCGACUUGCUGGGCCAAAACUGACGCUGAGGCGCGAAAGCGUGGGGAGCAAACAGGAUUAGAUACCCUGGUAGUCCACGCUGUAAACGAUGAAUACUAGGUGUAGGGGGGUAUCGACCCCCUCCUGUGCCGCAGCUAACGCACUAAAGUACAUAGUGCUGGGA